rnacentral:snoRNA from 1 species
CAUAGUGAUGACACGCUGUCGCCCCAAACGGAUUUCGAAAAUAUGAACGAUUCGACUACAUUAGCCAAACACUGAAAAUUCUGAUU